GUACACGCUGUGACUAGCAUAUCAAUAAGCGGAGGAAAAGAAACUAACAAGGAUUCCCCUAGUAACGGCGAGUGAAGCGGGAAGAGCUCAAAUUUGAAAUCUUAAAGGGUUUCCCUUUACGAAUUGUAGUUUAAAGAAGUGUUUUCUGUUGAGGUUUUGGUAAAAGUUCUUUGGAAUAGGACAUCAUAGAGGGUGAGAAUCCCGUAUUUGACCUUUACUUUCAACUUUGUGAUACACUUUCAAAGAGUCGGAUUGUUUGGGAAUGCAGUCCAAAAUGGGUGGUAAAUUUCAUCUAAAGCUAAAUAUUGGCGAGAGACCGAUAGCGAAACAAGUACCGUGAGGGAAAGAUGAAAAGAACUUUGAAAAGAGAGUUAAACAGUACGUGAAAUUGUCAAAAGGGAAGCGUUUUGACACCAGUGUUGUUUUUCUGAAAAUCAAUUAAAGAACUGUUUCAUGCUAAGCUGUUUAGACUUUAUCAGCUAAUCUGUUUAGUUUUGAGCUUUUCUUUAAUGCACUUUUCAGUUAACAAGUCAACAUCAAUUUCUUUUGCUGUAAAAAAGCUUGAGGAAGGUGGCUUGAGAUUCGUCUUAAGUGUUUAUAGCCUCUUGCCUAUGCAGUCGGAGAGAUUGAGGUCUGCAGCGUAGAUCCUUCGGGGCUAAAUGCAUUUGUGCUAAGUUAUAGCAUUUUAUAGACAACUUGUUGACUAUGAUUUGUCUUGUAGCUUACUCGCUUAUGUUAUUUUACCUACGCUUAGGAUGUUGACGCGCGUGUGUGCGUGAGUCUAUACAUGACUCUGCGCAUAUCAAUAAGCGGAGGAAAAGGAGUAUACCUACGCUUAGGAUGUUGAAGAUGUAGCACAUCAU
rnacentral:rRNA from 1 species